AGAUGAGUUCUCCCAGACUUUAUGUCUGUAAGGGUUGUUGUAGACUACGACGUAGAUAGGUGGGGUGUGUAAGUGUAGUGAUACAUUGAGCUAACCCAUACUAAUUGCCCGAGGGGCUUAACUAUACAACGCUCAAG
rnacentral:rRNA from 1 species